rfam:Pseudomonas fluorescens F113, complete genome.
ACGUGAGUUGGGUCCGGGCCUGUAUUGGGGCUCAACGAGUUUGGCAAGGUUCAGGAGAGGUUUGCCGGACGUCCAUGAGAGUGCAAAG